AUUAGUUCUGGCUGCUUUGUUAAUGUGGUAGGAUCCGAGACCCUGUAAUGGGUUACAUAGGCUUUCCUACUCAACUCCUAUUCCGUCACGUCCUCGUCGUGCAGAGUGGUAACCUGAUUCACCGUAAAUCCAAGCUUGAGUAAACGGGCCAGUCCCAACCCCUUGGGCGGAUGGUGGAGCACGGCUGAACAGGAGGGG
rfam:Anopheles maculatus strain maculatus3 cont1.30406, whole genome shotgun sequence.